AAGCCAGGUCAGAACAGCUGCCGAGACAGUGACAGUGAAAGCGCCAGCGGGGAAUCGAAAGGUUUCCAUCGAAGUAGCUCUCGGGAAAGGCUCAGUGAUAGCUCAGCUCCUUCCAGCUUGGGAACAGGCUACUUUGUAAGUGUAUCUCAACUUUAACACACGUCUCUGAACAGCAUAGCAUUACUCCUGAAAUGAAAGUGCCUUACUAUGUGGAAAUGAGUGUAAAUAACCAAUCUCUGUCUGCCCACUAGGUUAACUUAGCUUUUUCUAUUUCUUCUUCCACUGAUAAGUAAGAUAGCAGACGUGGGGAUGGAUGUUUUCCUGUGCUAAUUAGAAGUGUCACCAGUUGCUACAUAUAUUCCAAAAAUAUUUAAUUUACACAGUUAUAGCAAAUAAAACGAACCAUGGUCAUACCAGCUCUCUAAUCCAAGAUGGCUGGAUUGAUUCCCCCUGUACCAAUGCUCAAUGAUUCAUAGACCUUGAAGAGCCCAUUGUGGUGGUUUUGUCUCAUCCUCUGUGUAUCACAGUCCAGAGAACACAACAGUGUUUCCUACCUGUUGGGUAAAAGCCCUCUGUGUCACAGAUGACCUAGGAAAGCACACCUUUCGUUGCAUUUAUGCUAGAUUUACAUUUAAUGUCAUGAGAAGAGGAUCAGACCCUGGAUGGAUUGAUAAUUGAUCAGUGUGUCUAUUUUGUUGUUUAUUUACAUGUCUCUUUAUUGAUCUAACAGUCCAUACUUACAGUUUUUCCUGUGUUUAUUCCCAAGUUUAUCAACAGACCUUUUACGUGCAGAUAAGUUUGGGAGUAAGAAAUGUUUUGCAGUCAAUUCAGUGCACGGUUUGUUUUCCUCUAAGAUUUGUAUUUAAAUUGCUCGUACCCUCUCUAACUUUGCACUGCAUUCUCCAAGCAUGUCUCUUUUACCUUUGUGUUACAUCUGUAGGAGAAGUAGGACGUUAUGUAUGUCCAAAAACAGGUGGGUAACAUGCAGUGAGACUUUCUCCAUAGCAUUGUUCUAUAUAUUUCAAAGUGUAAUCAAAGAUGGCUUCUAACUUUUCAUCAAGCUCUGGGAAAAGAAAACUGUGUAGUAUUCACUUACAUGAUGAAAAAAAAAACUUUGUUGCUCUCUUUUUAGAUUCCCAGGGUGUAAUUGUCUCCCAUUAGAACACGGCAGAGUUUAGCCUUUUUUCACAGAGGUCUCUGAUACUGUAAGAAAGAUAUGGGAUUGAACUGUGUAAUGCAUGACCUCACAUGGAAAGUGUAAAGUGCAAGCACAGAAAUUGCUUAAUACAUGGAGGAAUGUCAUGUCCUGCUGGGGUCACACUGGACUUCAGCACAGACCAAAUGUUCUGUCUUCUGCCAGUGGUAAGGCCUGAAGGGAACAUUAUCAGCUGGAAAAGGUUUGUGGUAGUUCUUCUAAUUAGAUGAAAGCCUUAAUCUGCGUAAGGUAAAAUGUGAAACAGGAAAAAAACAGGUUUUUUUUCCAGUACUUUCCCUGUUCUGUGUUAUGUCUUUUUAAGAGGGAGGAAAUGAAAGCAAGAAGAGUAUCAAACAUCUCAACAUGUAUCUUGCAUUAAGAUUAAAACUAAAACUCCAUACUUAAGAUUAAAUUGCUUUCCUUUGGGCGCUUGAAAUUCAAAUCGUAUGAACAUACAUAGAGAUGCUCUGGAAUGGGAUAAAUAUAAUGUGGGAUGAAAGGCUUUAACAUAUAUAAAUAAACCUUUUUCUCCUUAUAGCGAGAGCUGAAUAUGCAUGUUUUAAGAACAAUGUUCAGCUUCGUAUUUAGGAAGCAGAGGUAACAGAAGAAAAGCCAUCUGCUGUUCCUUGCACCAUACUGUCUGUGGGUUGGUCCAGUAAAGUGAAAAUCUGGAAGGUGUCAACAUCCCCUAUGCUCCAGCAAUAAGCUUGAAAGUUUCCAGUUCUACCAAGUUGGGAGCUGAGUAACAAGAAGGAGCUUAGCAUCUUCUCAUGCCAACGUAUUGGCACUUUACAUUGUACUGAUUCAGAUCUGAGCAGACCAGGGAGGCAUCCCAUCUUGGGUCCCAUUAACAUGAGAUACUUUUGUACAGAGUCAUUGUAAUAUGAUUCCUGUAACUUUCUUUUUCCUUCUUCACUGAUAGCCUAAUAGUGAAAUAACUCCCAUAGAAAGCUGUUUUUACAGUUGCCCAGUUUUGGAUGAAACUUGGAGUUGUUUCCUCCUCUUCUUGUUUUGAAAAAAAAAUCGUUUUUAGGAUUAUCUUGCUUAUUGUUAAAAAAAAAAAAAAAAAAAA